GCGUCUAUAACUCAGACGGCUAGAGUGCUCGGCUCAUAACCGAGUAGUCGUAGGUUCGAAUCCUACUGGACGUG
rnacentral:tRNA from 1 species